CGCUGUAUAAGACAGAUAUUUCCACCCAUUUUGGGGGGUGGAAAAAGCGUCUUAUACUUCAAAAAAUACAGUACAUCUCCCAUUCUCCCUUCUGGCAGAAGGUGGUGUUAGCUUUCAUUUCCUGCUCUGAAUGGAAGGGUCUUAUACAACCCAUUGUAAUUAUGCAGUUAUGUUUUUGGUUCCAUACUUAACAGUGAAGCCAAAUUAACUAAUAUAUAUGCAGUUUCUAAUUUGGUGUCUUCUAUAAUAGAAUGCAGAAUUGCCCUUAGUGUGUAACGACUGAUUUGCUUCAUCUAAACCUGAAAAGUAUGUAGCCUGAGAUAAAUUUAUAUACCUUUGGAAGAAGAAAAUUCUCAUUCAGUAAGAAAUGGUGACUGUUACAUCCUGCCUGGUUUGCAUUUUACAAAUCAGAUCAAAUUCUGUGGCAAUGCAAUGAAUUUGUGCUACAGUUCAUCUAAGUUUUAAUAUUUAACUCUGACACUGAUGACCAUACUGGAUUAUAUUUAAGCCCUCAUAUUAAAUGGUUUAUCAUAUUUCUGUUUGAGAAAUUAUACCAAGGAACCUGGAAAAUCUCUUGGGAACCUGAACUGCAGCUGCUAGUAUUUUUUUAAAAAAUGCUUGUUUAAAAAAACAACUGGAUUUAGUUAUACUAUGUUUCUGAAACAGCAUGAUAUGGCACAACUCUAGACAUCUUAAUUCUAGGAUUAUUGAUUUUAGAUUUUGAAAUGAGGCCUAAAAGUUCAUCCAGUAGUGGAUGAACUUCAGUGUAUUUUAAAUUCCUCUCUUCCUUUCCACUUAUACCUGUCAAAUCUUUUUCCUGCACUUAUUUUUUAUACAAGAAAUAGCCAUAACAUGUUUGCACUAAAUAACUAAAUUCUUCUCAAAAGUGAAUCAAACCUUGUGCGUACGUGACAUUUAAAAGUAGCUCAGGUAGCUUACUUUAAAAAAACAACAAAAGUUUAGAAUUCUGCAAUUAUAGAAUAUUAAGCAGCAUUGCUUCUGUUUGGAUAAAACCUAAUAUUCAUACGUGACAAGGUGCAAACGUUUCAGGGACAUUUCUCUAUUCUGAGAUGCCUUUUCACAUUCUGAGGACCUGACAGCAUUUAAGGAUGGCUCUCUGUAUUAUGAGUCUUUGUUGCUAGAUGUGCUAAGAGAAAGCUGCUUGCAUUGCAACAAAGUAAAAGGCAAAAUAAUUGUUUUUAUAUUGCAUAAAAUUAAUAUUUCACGAUGAACUGAAUAUUCUGGAAAAAAAGAUCGCCAUGUGUUCCUGAAAAAGAACAGUUAGGGUGCUUUUUAAAACUAACCCGAAAUAGAGAAUUAAUAGCCCAUGAAUGAAAAUCAAAGAAAGUUCAUAACACUUUGCUGUUGACCUGCAGCAGUAACCUACUCCUUUGGUUUUACUUUAAGAAGUUACUUUGUAAAAUCUUGGUGGAACAAAUGAAAAUGACAAGGGUUUCUUAGGUGCAUUGAGAAGAUUGCUUUGAUUAUAUGUUGGGAAUCACUUUGUAUCCCUUGACAUAAUGUGGAGCAGCAGUUUUCUGUGUUUUAGCAGACCUGUUCUUCUCUUCCUCAAAAUUCUGCUUUUAUUCUUUCUUUUUAAAUAAUGUGUAGAUCAAUUUCUGAGAAAUUAAACGCUCUUUAUUAAUGCCGAAUCUGAUUUUUCUUUCCAGAGCAAUGCAGUGCCUUACUACUUUUCUAUUUGUCCUUACUGCCAUUUGAUUGCUGUUUUUCCUCCACAAAAUUGGCACUACAAAAAUCAUGCAAAUAUCAACAAUUCCUCUUGAAAUGCCCUCACUGUCCCCAUGGAAACUCUGACUAUAGCCUUCUGAUCUCUCACCUCCUUCCGGCUGGGAUCUAUGUCCUUGGGAAGGUCUUCUGGAGCGACAUUCACCAAUUUCUCCAAGGGAAUUGCCUUUCAUCAAGACAUUAGCUAAAAACUCAACUGGCUCUCAAGAGUCCAAAACGUGGCACUUAUUCGGCUGGCUUUGAAGGU